AUUGAACGCUGGCGGCAGGCUUAACACAUGCCAGUCGAGCGGGGAAAGGUAGCUUGCUACCUGACCUAGCGGCGGACGGGUGAGUAAUGCUUAGGAAUCUGCCUAUUAGUGGGGGACAACAUCUCGAAAGGGAUGCUAAUACCGCAUACGUCCUACGGGAGAAAGCAGGGGACCUUCGGGCCUUGCGCUAAUAGAUGAGCCUAAGUCGGAUUAGCUAGUUGGUGGGGUAAAGGCCUACCAAGGCGACGAUCUGUAGCGGGUCUGAGAGGAUGAUCCGCCACACUGGGACGGAGACACGGCCCAGACUCCUACGGGAGGCAGCAGUGGGGAAUAUUGGACAAUGGGGGGAACCCUGAUCCAGCCAUGCCGCGUGUGUGAAGAAGGCCUUUUGGUUGUAAAGCACUUUAAGCGAGGAGGAGGCUACCGAGAUUAAUACUCUUGGAUAGUGGACGUUACUCGCAGAAUAAGCACCGGCUAACUCUGUG
rnacentral:rRNA from 1 species